GAUGAACGCUGACAGAAUGCUUAACACAUGCAAGUCAACCUGAAUUUGGGUUUUUAACUUAGGUUUGGGUGGCGGACGGGUGAGUAACGCGUAAAGAACUUGCCUCACAGCUAGGGACAACAUUUGGAAACGAAUGCUAAUACCUAAUAUUAUGAUAAUAGGGCAUCCUAUAAUUAUGAAAGCUAUAAGCGCUGUGAGAGAGCUUUGCGUCCCAUUAGCUUGUUGGAGAGGUACCGGCUCACCAAGGCGAUGAUGGGUAGCCGGCCUGAGAGGGUGAUCGGCCACAAGGGGACUGAGACACGGCCCUUACUCCUACGGGAGGCAGCAGUGGGGAAUAUUGGACAGUGGACCAAGAGUCUGAUCCAGCAAUUCUGUGUGCACGAUGAAGUUUUUCGGAAUGUAAAGUGCUUUCAGUUGGGAAGAAACAAAUGACGGUACCAACAGAAGAAGUGACGGCUAACUACGUG
rnacentral:rRNA from 1 species